rnacentral:rRNA from 1 species
GGAUGCGAUCAUACCAGCACUAAUGCACCGGAUCCCAUCAGAACUCCGCAGUUAAGCGUGCUUGGGCGAGAGUAGUACUAGGAUGGGUGACCUCCUGGGAAGUCCUCGUGUUGCAUCCCUC